UACCAGCACCCCGAGUGGUCGGGACGUUUUAUUGGGCCUAAAGCAUCCGUAGCCGGUUCUACAAGUCUUCCGUUAAAUCCACCUGCUUAACAGAUGGGCUGCGGAAGAUACUAUAGAGCUAGGAGGCGGGAGAGGCAAGCGGUACUCGAUGGGUAGGGGUAAAAUCCGUUGAUCCAUUGAAGACCACCAGUGGCGAAGGCGGCUUGCCAGAACGCGCUCGACGGUGAGGGAUGAAAGCUGGGGG
rnacentral:rRNA from 1 species